CUUGGCAAUGUGCGAAAGCACGACAAAGGUUAAUCCGAGUGUCUCCUGCUAAAGGAGUCUUUUGUCAGUUGUAGAAUCACUGGUGAAUAAGGGGUGGGCAAGUUCUGGUGUCAGCCGCCGCGGUAAAACCAGCACCUCGAGUGGUCAGGAGGUUUAUUGGGCCUAAAGCAUCCGUAGCCGGUUGCAUAAGUUUUCGGUUAAAUCUAUGCGCUUAACGUAUAGGCCGCCGAAAAUACUGUGCAGCUAGGGAGUGGGAGAGGUACACGGUACUCGACAGGAAGGGGUAAAAUCCUUUGAUCUAUUGAAGACCACCUGUGGCGAAGGCGGUGUACCAGAACACGUUCGACGGUGAGGGAUGAAAGCUGGGGGAGCAAACCGGAUUAGAUACCCGGGUAGUCCCAGCUGUAAACGAUGCAGACUCGGUGAUGCAUUGGCUUGUGGCCAAUGCAGUGCCGCAGGGAAGCCGUUAAGUCUGCCGCCUGGGAAGUACGUACGCAAGUAUGAACUAAAGGAUUGGCGGGGGAGCACCACAAGGGGUGAAGCGUGCGUCCAAUUGGAGUCACGCA
rnacentral:rRNA from 1 species